rnacentral:lncRNA from 1 species
UCAUCAGUUUUCCAUUUGAAAACAUGACAGGAAGCUAAAAAGUUUGUGUAUGGUAGCUGGGAAGAGAAAUGCUGCAACCCUCUUGCUUGUUUCUGUUUGCAGGGCAUGUUAUAUGUGGGCUUCUGACACUGUGCUGCUAUGAAACCUUCUUAAGAUGGGCCUUACUCAUAGACUGGGGUACACAAGAUGUGAUACAGCCCUUUUGUGAGGGGAAGCCUAACCUAAUUGUAUCUGACCAAAACAACAGCCAUUGUGAAUGUCUGCACCUGUUCAUGUCCAACGCUAAUUCUCUUUUCUGUUGUAAGGCUGGCAAUUCAGCAUCAUCCACUGAAGGAUCCACAAAUAAUAUCAAGUACUGGAGAGCCAAAGACUACUGCAGGUAUUUGUAUUAUAUAUUUAGAUUAAAAAUAAGAUUGCAUUAUAGAAAGUAAAAGCGGUAAUUUCUGAAGUUCCACCCAGCACAGCUAUGAAAAACCCUCUGUUUCUUCCAUUUUUCAAAAGAUACUACUCCUUUUUUGGCUGUCAAUACAGCUAGUCUAGAGAAAAAAUCACACUUGACAAAAUAUUUCUCAACUGAUCAUUGUUCUAAUAACUGAAGAACCGUAGUAUAACAAUAAUCUAAAAAAAAAAAAAAAAAAAAAAAAAAAAAAAAAACACUUUAUACCUAAUGAUUUAGCAUGGUAGUAGCUGACUUGACAGACUCAAAGCUACUGGUAUGUAGAAACACUUUGGAAUGGGAAGACCAGUCCCUUUCAUGGUAAGAACUCAUUUUUUUCCUUCUGUAUUAAUAGAAUGUUAAGCAAGAUUUUUCCAUUUAGUUUGGCUGGAAUUUAUUUAUUUAUAUAUUUAUUAAACAAUGAGCUGCUUUAGCCUUUAAAAAUCGGUAAAGUAGAUUUAAAAUUUAAAGUACUAGUUACUAAAAGGAAAUACAAAGAAAUAAUAUAAAGAAUCGUAUGGGCAUGCACUCUUGAAUGGAGAUUUUGGCUGUUGUGAUGUCUUUUCAAGUUGCGAUGCUGCUUCAUGACAGACGCAUACAGAUGUGUGGCUGUAAUUUCAUCUAUGUAUGAAAUUAAAUUCAGAAAAGUAACCAACACCCUUACCUGAUUUAUUUCAGCUUUUCUAAGAGUAUUAUUUCUAUUUAGAAAUUGCAAUAUACCAAAUAAAAACAACCCUAGAAUGCA